rnacentral:tRNA from 1 species
UCCUGGCGUCUUAGAUGGUAAAGAAUCUGCCUGCAAUGCAGGAGACCCAGGUUCGAUCCCUGGGUUGGGAA